GAUGAACGCUGGCGGCGUGCCUAAUACAUGCAAGUCGAGCGAAUGGAUUAAGAGCUUGCUCUUAUGAAGUUAGCGGCGGACGGGUGAGUAACACGUGGGUAACCUGCCCAUAAGACUGGGAUAACUCCGGGAAACCGGGGCUAAUACCGGAUAACAUUUUGAACCGCAUGGUUCGAAAUUGAAAGGCGGCUUCGGCUGUCACUUAUGGAUGGACCCGCGUCGCAUUAGCUAGUUGGUGAGGUAACGGCUCACCAAGGCAACGAUGCGUAGCCGGCCUGCGAGGGUGAUCGGCCAAGCGUGGACUGAGACACGGCCCAGACUCCUACGGGAGGCAGCAGUAGGGAAUCUUCCGCAAUGGACGAAAGUCUGACGGAGCAACGCCGCGUGAGUGAUGAAGGCUUUCGGGUCGUAAAACUCUGUUGUUAGGGAAGAACAAGUGCUAGUUGAAUAAGCUGGCACCUUGACGGUACCUAACCAGAAAGCCACGGCUAACUACGUGCCAGCCGCCGCCGUAA
rnacentral:rRNA from 1 species